rnacentral:rRNA from 1 species
UACGUAGGGCGCAAGCGUUGUCCGGAAUUAUUGGGCGUAAAGAGCUCGUAGGCGGCUUGUCGCGUCUGUUGUGAAAGCCCGGGGCUUAACCCCGGGUCUGCAGUGGAUACGGGCAGGCUAGAGGCAGGUAGGGGAGAACGGAAUUCCCGGUGUAGCGGUGAAAUGACGCAGAUAUCGGGAGGAACACCGGUGGCGAAGGCGGUUCUCUGGGCCUGUACUGACGCUGAGGAGCGAAAGCGUGGGGAGCGAACAGG